GACGAACGCUGGCGGCGUGCCUAAUACAUGCAAGUAGAACGCUGAAGGAGGAGCUUGCUUCUCCGGAUGAGUUGCGAACGGGUGAGUAACGCGUAGGUAACCUGCCUGGUAGCGGGGGAUAACUAUUGGAAACGAUAGCUAAUACCGCAUAAGAGUAGAUGUUGCAUGACAUUUGCUUAAAAGGUGCAAUUGCAUCACUACCAGAUGGACCUGCGUUGUAUUAGCUAGUUGGUGGGGUAACGGCUCACCAAGGCGACGAUACAUAGCCGACCUGAGAGGGUGAUCGGCCACACUGGGACUGAGACACGGCCCAGACUCCUACGGGAGGCAGCAGUAGGGAAUCUUCGGCAAUGGACGGAAGUCUGACCGAGCAACGCCGCGUGAGUGAAGAAGGUUUUCGGAUCGUAAAGCUCUGUUGUAAGAGAAGAACGAGUGUGAGAGUGGAAAGUUCACACUGUGACGGUAUCUACCAGAAA
rnacentral:rRNA from 1 species